rnacentral:rRNA from 1 species
GACGAACGCUGGCGGCGUGCUUAACACAUGCAAGUCGAACGGAGCGAAUGAAAGCUUGCUUUUAUGAGCUUAGUGGCAAACGGGUGAGUAACACGUAGACAACCUGCCGACAGGAUGGGGACAACAUUCCGAAAGGAAUGCUAAUACCGAAUGAAGUCGAGGGAGGGCAUCCUCCUUCGAUGAAAGAUGGCCUCUGAAUAUGCUAUCACCUGUUGAUGGGUCUGCGUCUGAUUAGCUGGUUGGUGAGGUAACGGCUCACCAAGGCGACGAUCAGUAGCCGGUCUGAGAGGAUGAACGGCCACAUUGGGACUGAGACACGGCCCAGACUCCUACGGGAGGCAGCAGUGGGGAAUCUUCCGCAAUGGGCGCAAGCCUGACGGAGCAACGCCGCGUGAGUGAAGAAGGUCUUCGGAUCGUAAAGCUCUGUUGAUGGGGACGAACGUGCGAAGGGUGAAUAAUC